UUUUUUUUUUUUCCUUUUUUCGAUUGAACGAGAAAUUUAGGUUGAUCUCAUUUAGGUUUAUAUAGUCUUAUUGUUUUAUUAUCUUUCAUGGAAUAACAGUUGCAUUAUUUCCAUAUCAUCACAAUCUUAGUAGAACGAUCAAUGACAUGGCAUCAUUUGGUAUUGUAUUUAGUAUAACUUUUGACAGGACCCACCCCGAAUUUCACCCUGAAAUCCAAGAUAAAUCCUGCGGGGUCCACCUUUAAGGAAAAUUUACCGAAAAUUCGGCAUAACCUUCCUUGAAAAUGGACAACCCUUACCUGAAAAAUUCAACUUAACACUUCUAUAACCAAACAAACCAGCCUCAACACCUGGAGCCUUCCUGCUCCCCAAGAUCAACACAUCUCCCAAUAUAACAAUUACUCAACUCUAAUAAUCCCACAACCAAGAAUAAAGACUAUUAAUUAUUUACUAUUGGACUUUCAGAGCAUAUCUAAAGUUGAACGAAAAACAACGAAUAAAGAAUAUGCGGAAGCAGCCUCUGACUAUACCUCAACUCCAUGUACGCUCGACCUCCUUUAAAACUUAGCCUGCACACUGGGCAUUUGAAACCGAAGGGCCCAAGGAAAAGUAAUAUAAAAACGUUAGAGUGAGUGGAUGAAAAAUUAAACAAAUAACUGAUCGCAACAUAACUAACCAAACUUAAUUACUUUCCCAUUUUCCAAUAAUCAAGAAAUCUGUUGCUUGCAAGUGUUGAUAAAACUUUCAUAAAGAAAAUCCUAAGGAAACGGAUUAGCCCCGCUAGUCAAAUUAAUGACAAAGAUAAAUAAUAACCUUCAUAGAAGAAGGUACCAAAACAAGGGACUAGCCCCGCUAGUCAAAACGACAACAAUAAAUAAGAAACAAAUAUAGCCAUACAAGUGAGCCUCCCAGACUCGGUUGCCUCCUAGGCAAUAGUACUCCCAUACUCCUUACACCUUCAUGUUAUGGUAACAGAGAGGAUGUAGGGCUUGCGUGAUGUCGUCGACUACAUCACAUCACCCGAAGGUGGAAAGGGCUUGAGUAACCCCACUUAAAACGUGGAAGUUACAUCGCCUCAAAAGGCGGAACAACAUGCUAGCAUGAAUAAUAACGAUCCAACAAGUAUGGCAUAAAUAAAGAAACAUAAAUCCAUGUGAGUUUCCCCGAAACUCAUAAUUAAAGCAUAAGUACGAUUCCCAACCGUACUUAAAGAAUUCAAAGAGCAAAGAAACUAAUUAAAUUCAACGACGUGUCCCACACAUUAAAAUGCUCAAUGAAAUAAAUAACUUCAAUGAUUAUCAUCUUUCAAAAACCAGAUAAUAUGCAAAUCAGCAUGAAACCUCAAAUCCGGAAAUCAUAAAGAAAAUCCAAACUCAAAUCUCAAAUAAUUUCCAACAUCAUUUCAUAUACCGAAGUUAUAAUAUAUGCUCGGAAAAUGAAAUACUAAAUUAUAAAAUCUUGCAUGCAUAUAUUUAAUAAAAACCAAAAUGUCCACUCACAGAUUUAGGCCUAAGCCUGACGAAUUUCCGAAUCACCACUCAAGUGGGGUCUCCUCGAAUCCUGGCACAACAACCAUGCUUAGGACCAAACUUCAAUUCCGGAAAAUAAUUACGUGAAUAAAAACAUCUAACUCUCUUCCGUUGAACCCACUACUCUUAAUAGGGUUAAACUCACCGGAUUCACACCAAACUCCACCACAACCUUAAUUCACCAAUUAUAACAUUCCAGGCUAAAUACCAAGGAAAUUCAACGGCCGGAUUUUCAUUCUAAUAACCGGCAAAAUCCUUAAUCUUUUAAAAAUCCCAAACCUUAACAAAACUUCUCCAAAAAUUCCAAACUAUACUUCAUUAGACUCCUCUCAUUAAAACAAACCCAAAAACCUGAAAAUCAACCUCCAAGUGGCGGCGCCGCCGCCUGCUCUGCCGGCAGCGGCGGCCGGCGGCCGUACUCCGACGGCGACCAAUGCCUCCCAAAUUUUGACAGAAUAAUCCUCUCAUCAUGCACAACAACUUCCAUAACUAGCACUUAGUCCAAUUCUAAGCCUAACUAGGGUAAUCGAAUCAAAAUAUCUAAAAAUCCCCCAAUUCAAACCCUAGCCCGAAAAUCCUCCUACACACUUCGAAUUGGAUCAUUACCUUCUAGGGAAAUGUUACACACGGAGAGCACUUCCCAAUGGAACUGAAAUCACUGGAAAUGGUGGCCGGAGGGGCAAGUUCCGGCGUCGGGACUCCACCACGUAGCCGGAGCUUCCGGGCGAGCUCUCUCCCUCACGGUGGCGCUAGGGCAGCUCUCACUGGUCCAGGAAGAAGGCUGGGUCGACGGCCAACCGUUUGGGACCAGUGCGCCGGUCUAUGGUGGCCGGACGGCGGCGGUCGGAGCCGAGGAAUCCGGCGGGUCGGGGUAGGCUCGGGAGAGAGAGAGAGAGAGAGAGAGAGAGAGAGAGAGAGAAGANNNNNNNNNNNNNNNNNNNNGAGAGAGAGAGAGAGAAAAUGAGUUGGGCCUUUUUACCCCAUUUUUGACCCGGUCCACCAUUUAAAAUCCCACUCCAACAAUAAAACACCUCCAAAAAUAAUACCUACUAAAACAAUUAACCUCUCUUUACCAAAUAAAGUCUACUCUUUUUAUCUAAUAACUUUUUCAUGCUAACUCCGAUUUUAACGUUUAGCAUGUCUACGAACUCGUAUUAAGAAAGUUUUCCCAAAUUCCAAACGAAAGAAAAAGUCAACUUUUAAAGUCUUAAAUAGUAAACGGUUACUUAAAACAGUAAAAGGUCAAAGUAACCCAAAAGUAAAUAACCGCAAAUUGACUUGAGAACCGGGAUGUGACAACUUUUUGGUGUCUAAAGCAUUUUCUACCUGAACACAUAGUUAUCUCAAUUCAUCGAUAGCUUCACUCAUCAGACGGCCACAUUGUCGUUGGCCGAUAUAUUUUCUCCACUCAUCAAACGAUGGAAGAAGAAAAAACAUGGUAUGUACGAAAAUUAUAAUUGGCCAAAUCUACCCGUAAACUGAUUAUUCUUAUUAUUUGGUGCAUGAAAUAGAUGUUUUAUCUCGUAUUUAAAAAGGUUUAUUCGUUUGGUUAAUGAAUUUUAGGGAGAGCUUCCAAUGAGGACCUUAUAAUGAGGACCAAGUGAGGACUUUGAAAUGAAUGGUUGGAUAAAAUGCACAUGGGAAUUAGAAAAUAUCAAUUAAAAGUCAAAACCUUGAUCCAACCGUUCAUUUGAAAGUCCUCACUUGAUCCUCAUUAUAAGGUCCUCAUUAGAAGCUCUCCCAUGAAUUUUAUUGGUUACUAUUUUAAGAUGUGAUAUAGCUUCCACAAUUAAACGUAGCCUUCCUUUCCCUGUUGUUGAUUUCACAACCAAGCAAUUUCCCGCUCGGUCGAUCGGUCUGUUUCCGCCGCGUCAUUUUCACAUUUUUCCCAACCACCACAUAUCUGUAAAACCUUACGGAAAAUAAAAACAUUCACCUUUCUGUAACCAACCUACUCGCCAUCGUCAACCCUCCUAUAAACAAACCAGAGCCUACAGAGCAAUCAGAGCUCACACAUUUCCUCGUAUAACCAACUAUAUGGCCGGCCAAAACCCUAAAUAACCCUCAACUCAGUAUCACCACCAUGUCGCCGCCAUGGCCUUCCCUUUCGGCACCCAUGCAGGCCCUCUUCUAAGCCUCGUUCUUCGGCUCGCUGCCGCUAAACCCGACACAAUCUUCUCCUUCAUCACAACUUCUAAAGCCAACAGCUCCCUCUUCUCUCAAACCUCCAAGGCCUCCGCCUUCCUUAACGUUAAGGCCUACGACGUCCCCGAUGGGUUACCAGAGGGUUUCGUGCUCUCCGGCCACUCGGAGCAGCUUAUUGGCUUCUUUCUCAAACCGACCAACUUUAGGAUUGUGAUGAAGGAGGCUGAGGCGGGCUCCGGGCUUAAGAUAGGGUGUCAGGUGACGGAAUCUUUGCCGGAGAUAUGGCGGAGGAGAUGAAGCUUCCCUGGGUUCCACUUUUGGACGGCUGGAUCUCGUUCCCUUCUUGUUCAUGGUGCCACAGACUUGAUACGACAAAGGGUACUUGGAACCGGUGGUAAGGAUCAAUUUGCUAAUUAAUCUAUAGUAGGCCUAAUUAUGGCUCAAAUUAGAGUCCUUUGCGUACUUGAUACUUGAUUUCUAUAUAUAGUCAUGCUAAUGAUUUCUUACUUAGUUUCCUUCUAUGUCCCAUUCAUCAAUCCUUCGUGCUUAGAGUUUGACGACGAAUGGUUUAUGUUUAAAACAAGUAUUAUAUACCUCACAAAGAAUUAUAAACCACCAACGUACGUACGUUGGUCUCCGACAGUCGACGAAGCUAGAGUAUACCACAUUGGUGUAAGAUAUAUUCAAUGGACACUUAGAUAUCACUAUGUAAACUUCACCUUUUCUUGGUAUGACACUGACUGAAUUAGAUAUUGUAGUACAUUAUGGAACUUAAAUGUUUGGUGAGCAUGAAAUUCAGGCAUUUACAAAAGUAUAGCCUUACCAUUGGUCCUUCUCAUCAUUACAUGCAAAAUUAUUUUUGUUUCAGGAAAUGCAGUGAAAACCCUUGAGUUCCUUCCUGGAUUUUCUAAACUUGAGGUUGUUGAUUUACUUGAGGGAGUCGUAUUAGGGAAUUUGGAGUCACCAAUAUCAUCCCUGUUACACAAGAUGGGACAAGAGCUGCCAAAGGCGGCAGCGGUUGCCAUUAACUCAUUCGAAGAAGCAGAACCGGACAUGGUGAACGAGCUCAAAUCAAGAUUCAAGAAGUUUCUCAAUGUUGGACCCUUCAAUCUUGCAUCGGCGUCGCCGCCAUUGCUCGAGGACGACAGCGGUUGCUUGGAGUGGUUGGACAAGCAUAAGCCUGCAUCUGUGGUAUAUAUUAGCUUUGGAAGUGUGGUGAGUCCACCACCUCAUGAGCUACCAACAUUUGCAGAAGCCUUGGCUGAAAGUGGGUUCCCAUUUAUUUGGUCAUUUAGGGGCAACCCAGAUGAGAUAUUGCCCAAUGGGUGUGACAAGAGUAGCCUAAAUGGGAAAAUAGUUUCAUGGGCACCGCAGGUACAAAUUUUAGAGCAUGCUGCGGUUGGAGUUUUUCUGACACAUUGCGGGUGGAACUCCAUUUUGGAGAGUAUAGUUGGUGGUGUGCCUAUGAUGCCCUAUGAUAUGCCGGCCAUUUUUUGGGGAUCAAAACCUGAACAUGAAGACUGUGGAGGUUGUUUGGGGGAUUGGUGUGGGAAUUGAGGGAGGGUCCCUUACAAAACAAGGAGCAAUUAAGGCCUUGGAACUAAUUUUGAGGGGUGAAGCAGGAAAUGAAAUGAGAGAAAAAAUAAAAGUUCAAAGAAGUCUAGCGCGAUCUGCAGUUGAAGGUAAUGGUAGCUCUUCCAAAGCUUUUAAUAGUUUGGUGAACAUAUAGUCACCAAGCAUGAAGAAGUUUGAUAAAACAGGGUGAAUCGUGUUUCCUUUUUUUUUUUUCUUUUUUUUUUUUUCCAAUGCAAAACUUCGGUUUCGAGGUGAAAAUUAAUUUGGAACAUGUAUUAAAAAAAAGAAAAAAAAGAAAAGAAAAGAUUGAAAUAAAGAAUCGUUCAGAUGAAGAUGGACACCAUGUCAUGACAAUGAGUGUGUUGAAGGAUGAGUGUGCAUUAAGAAAAGAACUUGCUUUAUAAUUGAUUGCUAGCUUAUGCAACUAAAGCUAUUUAUUUGAGUUGGGCAUCCGUUCUUCUCUAAGGUUUCUUGCCACUUUCGUAAGUGUUUUUUGUUGUGCUUAAAACACCAAGAAGACACACCAGUACUUACAAAAUUCACACAAUAGCAGCAAAUGCAAAGUAUUCAACUAUAAUCAGUUAAGUACCAAACAAAACACAGCAAUGUAUGAAAAGAAACAACACACAACACUUUUCCCAGUUCAGCAAUUAGCCUACAUCUGGGGAGCAGAUGGAACUACUCAACUUUCACUAUCAAAGAGAAUGAUGAUUUUACAGUUCUAUCACUCUACACAAACAACAGAGAAGCACACAGCUUUUAAUACUCCUCUAUUUUCUCUCAAACAAAACUGCUGCAGUUAUGCAGUUUUUCUUAACUACAUAUUGAGCAGUUAUCACCCAACUCAAAACACCAAAUAACCUCUACA
rnacentral:lncRNA from 1 species